UACGGGAGGCAGCAGUGGGGAAUAUUGCACAAUGGGCGCAAGCCUGAUGCAGCCAUGCCGCGUGUAUGAAGAAGGCCUUCGGGUUGUAAAGUACUUUCAGUCGUGAGGAAGGUGUUAAGGUUAAUAACCUUAGCAAUUGACGUUAGCGACAGAAGAAGCACCGGCUAACUCCGUGCCAGCAGCCGCGGUAAUACGGAGGGUGCGAGCGUUAAUCGGAAUUACUGGGCGUAAAGGGCACGCAGGCGGUUAAUUAAGUUGGAUGUGAAAUCCCCGGGCUUAACCUGGGAAUGGCAUUCAAGACUGGUUAGCUAGAGUCUUGUAGAGGGGGUAGAAUUCCGAUGUGUAGCGGUGAAAUGCGUAGAGAUGUGGAGGAAUACCGGUGGCGAAGGCGGCCCCUGGACAAAGACUGACGCUCAUGUGCGAAAGCGUGGGGAGCAAACAGGGAUUAGAU
rnacentral:rRNA from 1 species